rnacentral:rRNA from 1 species
UACGUAGGGUGCGAGCGUUGUCCGGAAUUACUGGGCGUAAAGAGCUCGUAGGUGGUUUGUCGCGUUGUCCGUGAAAACUCACAACUCAAUUGUGGGCGUGCGGGCGAUACGGGCAGGCUAGAGUUCGGUAGGGGAGACUGGAAUUCAUGGUGUAGCAGUGAAAUGCGUAGAGAUCAUGAGGAAGACCAGUGGCGAAGGCGGGUCUCUGGACAGUUCCUGACACUGAGACACGAAGGCCAGGGGAGCAAACGGG